rnacentral:rRNA from 1 species
CGCUGGCGGCAUGCCUAACACAUGCAAGUCGAACGAAGUCUUCGGACUUAGUGGCGCACGGGUGCGUAACGCGUGGGAAUCUGCCCUUGGGUGCGGAAUAACUUCUCGAAAGGGAUGCUAAUACCGCAUAAUGUCGUAAGACCAAAGAUUUAUCGCCCAAGGAUGAGCCCGCGUAAGAUUAGCUAGUUGGUGGGUAAAAGCCUACCAAGGCGACGAUCUUUAGCUGGUCUGAGAGGAUGAUCAGCCACACUGGGACUGAGACACGGCCCAGACUCCUACGGGAGGCAGCAGUGGGGAAUAUUGGACAAUGGGCGAAAGCCUGAUCCAGCAAUGCCGCGUGAGUGAUGAAGGCCUUAGGGUUGUAAAGCUCUUUUACCCGGGAUGAUAAUGACAGUACCGGGAGAAUAAGCUCCGGCUAACUCCGUG